AUCCUACGGGAGGCAGCAGUGGGGAAUAUUGGACAAUGGGCGAAAGCCUGAUCCAGCCAUGCCGCGUGUGUGAAGAAGGUCUUCGGAUUGUAAGGCACUUUAAGUUGGGAGGAAGGGCAGUAAGUUAAUACCUUGCUGUUUUGACGUUACCGACAGAAUAAGCACCGGCUAACUCUGUGCCAGCAGCCGCGGUAAUACAGAGGGUGCAAGCGUUAAUCGGAAUUACUGGGCGUAAAGCGCGCGUAGGUGGUUUGUUAAGUUGGAUGUGAAAGCCCCGGGCUCAACCUGGGAACUGCAUCCAAAACUGGCAAGCUAGAGUACGGUAGAGGGUGGUGGAAUUUCCUGUGUAGCGGUGAAAUGCGUAGAUAUAGGAAGGAACACCAGUG
rnacentral:rRNA from 1 species